GACAGAGGGUGCAAACGUUGUUCGGAAUUACUGGGCGUAAAGCGAGUGUAGGCGGUCUGAAAAGUCAGGUGUGAAAGCCCUGGGCUCAACCCAGGAAGUGCACUUGAAACUGCCAGGCUAGAGUGUCGGAGAGGUUGGUGGAAUUCUCGGUGUAGAGGUGAAAUUCGUAGAUAUUCGGAAGAACACCAGUGGCGAAGGCGGCUCACUGGUCCGGUACUGACGCUGAGGUGCGAAAGCGUGGGGAGCAAACAGG
rnacentral:rRNA from 1 species